GGGCGCUCGCAUCCGCAGCAAUGGCGGCGUGGCGUUCUUCGUAUCUAUUGGAGGGGAUUGGACGAGCAGCCGGCGGGUGGCGACAACUGGUGACUCCGACGGCCUCAGCCUCAGUUUCGACGCGUAUUGUUGCAUCUCCUUGCUAGGUACCUAUUGCUCGUUUCAAUCUGCUUGCACGAAUUUUUUAUGGCCUCUGUAAGAUUUGAUAAUGCGUGCUUUUGUCCUACUCAGCCAAUUGUGGAAAAUAAUUGCAUAGCGGUGAUCUGGUCCGGGCGAUACGAGGUUUGAUGUCAGGGACAAGUUUUUUCUCUGCGUUCAUCCAUUGCAUUUGUUGCUCAGUGGCUGUUUCCCUUAUUGUGGGAAGGGAGAUGAUAUAACAAGUGUUAUAAUAGUUCAUGUUGUAGCCUUGUGUAGUUGUGGGGCUUGACCUCAAGCAUGAAUCCGGCGAGCCUUUUUUUAGCUAAGGUUAUGUUAUUGUUUUUCAUUUGCUAAUUUCCUUGUAGCCUGUCAAGAUUAUCCGCUCAUUCAUUAGGAUAAUAAGCUUAUCAUUAACUGAAUUCUGAAGCCAGAUGUAUAUUCUUCACAUGCAUCACAGUCCAUAGAUUGUUUGGGUUAUAAAGGACAAAAUCAUAUGCCAGUCUCUCUACAUAUUUUAUCGAUCCAUUUAUUCAGGAUUGGUAGCUUAAAUUCUAAGUUUUGAAGUUCAAGAGUAGCUAGCUCCCAUGUGUCGGUGUAUUUAAAUAUUUUGCUAAUACUAGCAUAUGGCAGCCUUUUGAGGUGUCCCUGUUUAAAUAGUAUAGAGGUGCAAUCUCUGCAUCUUGUAAUUGUAAUUAUGUAUUCAGCCUCCUAGGAGGAUGUAAACAACUAUCUAUCUUUUCAAUGAAAUGAAACGCAAAGGUCCUUUGCGUUUUCUCGAAAAAUUGUAAUUAUGUAAUGUUUAUUAUCUUGCUUUCUCAGGUGUUAAAUGCGUAAAUGCUAGGAAACGAUGAGCCGUUGAACUUUGGUUUGUGCUGUACAUAGUGAAAGAUUACUAUCGGCCACUCAUUUUCUAGCAUAGUUGUGGUCGGCGGGUGGACUCGGCGGUGGUGUGGCCGGCGGGCGGAAUGCUGACGCGGUGAAUGCCCUUUUUCUUGUUGUCGGGCGGCGUGGCGUGUGGUGGCUGCAGGCGGUUCACGCCCAUGGAUGUCAGAUUGCUUGGCUGACAGCGGGAAGCAUGGAGGCAGCACUGGAGGCUCGCCAUCAACAUGUCCUCGUCAGCCAGGUGCUGGAGAUGGAGUGGUCGAUGCCGGAGCUCCUGUCCCCACCGACGGCCUCAGGUCCCAAAUGGCAGAGGGGCACGGGCUCUUAUGGCGACUCCAGCAGCAGCCUUUCUACCAGACAUCAGUUCCCUGAACAAUUCUCUUUGGCACUGCUUCGCUGUAGAUUAGCUAACUUACAAAGCGUCGCAGAAAAUUUUAGUGAUGGCCAGAAGAAAUAAUUUUCAGAAAAACAAUUCGGAGGUAGGCAAGAGGUAUGAGAGUAAUCAGGGGGAAUUCUUACUAUCCAAAAACUGAUUCAUUCAGUUAGUUGAAUCAUUGGGGGAACAAUAGAAUAUAUUUUAUUCCCCCUAUAUGACUAUGCCUUUUCCUUAAGUUAGGUUAUUUUUGUUGCGACAUAAAAUUGUGUAAACGUGAUUAUGAGAUGUAUUGUUGCUACAUAAAAUUGUUUUAAUGUGAUUAUGUGAUUUAUUCUUGCA